AGGUUAACUGAGGCAGCAGAAAAGAAACCAUAUUUGUUUAUUGAAGAUGUUUUUAUUACUGGAGUACUUCCGAAAAGCCUGGGCUUUGCCCCGCUAAAUAUAGGUGAGCAUCUAAUAUGGGAAACACAUCCAGCAUUUCUGAUUAAACUCCUCCAGAAUCCUGUAACUUAUCAUGAGGCAUCAGAUAGUUCAAAUAAUAAACAAAUAAUCUUCUAAGAGGAACCUUUAGCGUAAUUUCUUAUGACCUUCCUAUUAUAGAGUGACAUGCCCGAUUCACAAUGGUACCCUUAACAGCUUAGUCUGAACAAAACUUUAAGAGAUAUCAAUGUUUUAAAUUCAAAAUUAAUUUUUUAAAAUGUUAUUUCUUAGUUAUAGAUGACUUUGCAAAUUUAUGCUAUAGAAACAGGGAGAAAUUUUCAGAAUCUAAUCCUUUUUAGCUAGAAAAACGACCAUAUCUUCAACAAAAAUAAUCUGAUAAAAGUUUAAAGUGUACCAUACAACAGCUUCUUAACGUCUCAGCUAAGAGCUGAGCUUUUAAAAGCUUAAACCCGAGUAAACCCCAUUUUAUUUGGAGACGCAAGCGUAAAUAAAACCCGAGGCAGGAUUGCUCCUGAUUGGUUCUGAUUGGUUCAGAUACGAUACGACGUUCUGUUUAUAGCAGACAGACCUUCCGUAAGGCCAUAAGAGAAUUUUGUACUCAGAACUCACCAAAUUCCGUGAUAUACAAUGAACUCAUUUUCGGUGACUGUACAAUUGUAUAUUGGUUGUUUGUAAACAAACGCAACCGAAACUGGACUUGAUCCGAAAAAUUAAAUUAAACCCAGUAUUAGUCGCAGUCCAAAGUUAUAUAGUUACACAUAUAAAGAUACCAUGGAGCUACUCCACCCCCUCUCAUGUCGAAACUGUAGAUUAUUGUUUCAACAUAAGUCUAAUUAAAUUGAAUCAUCAGCAUCUUCUUCAUAAACAGGCGGAGUGGUGUUUCAAAGUAAAGUGUUUCAAUAGCAUAUACAAACUAGGGGAAACCCUGAACUCUGAGGAAAAGAUGAAAAUGGAAGUUGUUGAACACUCUUUCCUUCAUACUAAAUACAAAGAUUAUUGAAGAGAAGGAUUGGCGCUAGCAAAGCUAUAAAAGUAAUUUAAAAGCUGUUUUUUUAAACUCUGACAUCAUCAACUGUAAUAAAAGAUUUACUUUGAAGCUUAUUUUGUACUUUAUUUAAACCACCUAUCUGAUCAAGCCUGCAGCCUUGCAUACAACUUGACUUGUUGCUGGUUAACAAAUCAACGGUAUAAAUGCAAAUAGAAUGUUAAGUACAAUAGAUGGCAACGUAGAAUUUGUACACUCUCAGUACAGUUGUAUGUUAAGUACA